UACGUAGGUGGCAAGCGUUGUCCGGAUUUACUGGGCGUAAAGAGCGCGCAGGCGGUCGAUCAAGUCGCGUGUGAAAGCCCCCCGGCUCAACUGGGGAGGGUCACGCGAUACUGAUCGACUCGAAGGCAGGAGAGGGUAGUGGAAUUCCCGGUGUAGUGGUGAAAUGCGUAGAUAUCGGGAGGAGCACCAGUGGCGAAGGCGACUACCUGGCCUGUUCUUGACGCUGAGGCGCGAAAGCUAGGGGAGCAAACGGG
rnacentral:rRNA from 1 species